rnacentral:rRNA from 1 species
UCACGAGUUUGAUCAUGGCUCAGAUUGAACGCUGGCGGCAUGCCUUACACAUGUAAGUCGAACGAUGAAGUCCUUCGGGAUGGAUUAGUGGCGCACGGGUGAGUAAUAUAUAGGUAAUGUGCCUCUUAGUCUGGGAUAGCCACUGGAAACGGUGAUUAAUACUAGAUACUCCUUCUUACUUUAAGGUAAGUCGGGAAAGUUUUUCGCUAAGAGAUCGGCCUAUAUCCUAUCAGUUAGUUGGUGAGGUAAUGGCUCACCAAGGCGAUGACGGGUAGCGGGUUUGAGAGGAUGAUCCGCCACACUGGUACUGAGACACGGACCAGACUCCUACGGGAGGCAGCAGUGAGGAAUAUUGCACAAUGGGGGAAACCCUGAUGCAGCAACGCCGCGUGGAGGAUGACGCAUUUCGGUGUGUAAACUCCUUUUAUGAGUCAAGAAAAUGACGGUAGCUCAUGAAUAAGCACCGGCUAACUCCGUG